GGAGACAUUACGGGAGGCAGCAGUGGGGAAUAUUGCGCAAUGGGCGAAAGCCUGACGCAGCGACGCCGCGUGUGGGAUGACGGCCUUCGGGUUGUAAACCACUGUCGGGAGGGACGAAGAUCUGACGGUACCUCCAAAGGAAGCACCGGCUAACUCUGUGCCAGCAGCCGCGGUAAUACAGAGGGUGCGAGCGUUGUCCGGAAUCACUGGGCGUAAAGGGCGCGUAGGCGGCCCGAUAAGUAGGGGGUGAAGUCUUGCGGCUCAACCGCAAGGCUGCCUUCUAAACUGUCGGGCUGGAGCACGGUAGAGGCAGAUGGAAUUCCCGGUGUAGCGGUGGAAUGCGUAGAGAUCGGGAAGAACACCAGUGGCGAAGGCGGUCUGCUGGGCCGUUGCUGACGCUGAGGCGCGACAGCGUGGGGAGCAAACAGGAUUAGAUACCCCUGGUAGUCCACGCCGUAAACGAUGGGCACUAGGCGUCGGGGGGAGCGACCCUCCCGGUGCCGUCGCUAACGCAGUAAGUGCCCCGCCUGGGGAGUACGGUCGCAAGGCUGAAACUCAAAGGAAUUG
rnacentral:rRNA from 1 species